rnacentral:lncRNA from 1 species
UUCUUCUUCUUCUUCUCCUUCUUCUUGAUUUCCUUUUCUUCUCCUCCUCCUCCUCUUUCUUCUCCUCUUUCUUAUUCUCCUUACCUUAUUUUCCCCCAACAAUGACAUAAUUAGCCCAUUUAGCUCCACAAUGACAUAAUACGAUCAAAAUGGCAUAAAAACCUUGGUUAGCUCAUGAAUAUUAUAUUCUUAGCUUGUUUUCCUCUAAAAUGACUUAAUUAGUCCAUAUAGCUCCAAAAAGACAUAAUUAGAUAAUUUAGCUCCAACUAGAAAGAGGAAGAGGAGAAGAAGAAAAGAAGAAGAGUAGGAGGAGGAGGAGAAGGAGAGAAGAAGAACAACAUAAGAAAGUGAAGGAGGAGAAGCAUCCCUCCUUCUUCUCCUUCAUCUCCUUCUCUCCUCCUUCUUCUUCUCCCUCCUUCUUCACCUUCUUAUUCUCCUUAUUCUUCUCUUCUUUUCCUCCUCCUCCUCCUCCUUCUCAUUCUCCUCCUCCUCCUUCUCCUUCUCCUCCUUCUCCUUCUUCUUCUCUUCUUGCUUAUUCUCUUUCUUCUUCUACGUAGCUUAUUUUCCCCAACAAAGACAUAGUUAGCUAAUUAUCCUCCAAAAUGACAUAAUUAGCUUAGUUAGGGUAAGAACAUCAUAAGAACCUUGGUUAGCUCACAACUUAUCUAAUUAUCCUUCAAAAUGAGAUAAUAAGCUCAAAGUGGCAUAAAAACCUUGGUUAGCUCAUGAAUAUUAUAUUCUUAGCUUGUUUUGCUCUAAAAUGACAUAAUUAGCCCAUAUAGCUCCAAAAAGACAUAAUUAGAUAAUUUAGCUCCAAAAGAGGAGAAGAGGAGAAGAAAUAGGAAAAAUGAAAAGAAGGAAGAAGAAGAAGAAGAAGAUAAGAAGAAGGAGGAGGAGGAGAAGAAGGAGAAAGAUGAGAAGACCUUCUUCUCCUUCUCCUCCUUCUCCUUCUCCUUCUCCUUCUUCUUCGCAUUCUUCUUGAUUUCUUCUUCUUCUACUCCUCCUCCUAUUUAUUCUCCUAUUUCAUAUUCUCCUUACCUUAUUUUCCCCCACAAUGACAUAAUUAGCCCAUUUAGCUCCAAAAUGACAUAAUAAGCUCAAAAUGGC